rnacentral:rRNA from 1 species
AUGACUCUCCACGGGCCUCCUCCUCUGCUCCGCGGCCGUCCGCGUGGACGAGGUCCGCCUCCGACGCCUCUCCACCGAAGCCGCCAGUGCUCGGCGUGCUGGACAUCGGCGGCGCCAAGCGGCGGCCAGUGCGGCUUCCGAGAAGGGCGGCGGCGCAGCGAGUCAUCGACGAGCACCGCGCCUCCUUCGACGAACAUGACGGGAUGA